rnacentral:rRNA from 1 species
AUAUCAGUCAUGCAUAGCAUAUCAAUAAGCGGAGGAAAAGAAACUAACAAGGAUUCCCUUAGUAACGGCGAGUGAAGCGGGAAGAGCUCAAAUUUGAAAUCUUCAAGGUUCUACCUUGACGAAUUGUAGUUUAUAAGAAGUGUUUUCUGUUAGUGAGUCUGGCUAAAAGUUCUUUGGAAUAGGACAUCAUAGAGGGUGAGAAUCCCGUAUUUGGUCAUUCCUCCUAGCGUUGUGAUACACUUUCAACGAGUCGGAUUGUUUGGGAAUGCAGUCCAAAAUGGGUGGUAAAUUUCAUCUAAAGCUAAAUAUUGGCGAGAGACCGAUAGCGAACAAGUACCGUGAGGGAAAGAUGAAAAGAACUUUGAAAAGAGAGUUAAACAGUACGUGAAAUUGUCAAAAGGGAAGCGUUUGACACCAGUGUUGUUUUCUCGAAAAUCAAUUAAAAUAAUGCUUGAUUUUGUGUUGUAUUGACCUUAAUCGCUUUCUUCACUUUUUUCAUGUCUUUUUUAAUGCACUUUUCGUUUAACAAGUCAACAUCAAUUUCUUUUGUUGUAAAAGGGUUAUUGGAAGGUGGCUUUCUCUUCGGAGAAAGUGUUUAUAGCCUUUGGCCUCUGCAAUCGGAGAGAUUGAGGUCUGCAGCGUAGAUCCUUCGGGGUUAGAUGCAUUUGUGCUAAGUUAUAGCCUUUCAUAGACAACUUGUUGACUAUGAUCAGUCAUGUAGCUUACUCGCUUAUGUCAUUUUACCUACGCUUAGGAUGUUGAUGUGAUACUGCGAGCA